UGGGGAAUAUUGCACAAUGGGCGCAAGCCUGAUGCAGCCAUGCCGCGUGUGUGAAGAAGGCCUUCGGGUUGUAAAGCACUUUCAGCGAGGAGGAAGGUGGUGAACUUAAUACGUUCAUCAAUUGACGUUACUCGCAGAAGAAGCACCGGCUAACUCCGUGCCAGCAGCCGCGGUAAUACGGAGGGUGCAAGCGUUAAUCGGAAUUACUGGGCGUAAAGCGCACGCAGGCGGUUUGUUAAGUCAGAUGUGAAAUCCCCGGGCUCAACCUGGGAACUGCAUUUGAAACUGGCAAGCUAGAGUCUCGUAGAGGGGGGUAGAAUUCCAGGUGUAGCGGUGAAAUGCGUAGAGAUCUGGAGGAAUACCGGUGGCGAAGGCGGCCCCCUGGACGAAGACUGACGCUCAGGUGCGAAAGCGUGGGGAGCAAACAGGAUUAGAUACCCCUGGUAGUCCACGCUGUAAACGAUGUCGAUUUUGGAGGUUGUGCCCUUGAGGCGUGGCUUCCGGAGCUAACGCGUUAAAUCGACCGCCUGGGGGAGUACGG
rnacentral:rRNA from 1 species